CAUACUGUUAUAUAUUCUGAAAAACUCAUGCUGAACAGAUAAGACGAGAUUCAAGAUACAGUGUAAAAGGUGUUAGUUUGCAAUUUUGAUGGCUGCUCUGCACUGUAAUUCACUGUCACUGCAUUAACUCCAGACUUGCAGACCAGACUGAGUAGCAGUGAGAGGGAACUUCUUGUUAUCAAGUCCAGGAUUGACCAGCUGGAGACAGGAAUUGCAGAGAAACCAAAGGUGGCCUUUUACACAGCGUUGACUAAUACAGGAUAUGUUGGACCAUACAACACAGACACCACACUGAAAUACAGCAAGGUCUUCACCAACAUUGGCAAUGCUUACAAUCCAGCAACAGGUUUCUUCACAGCACCACUCAAUGGGGUCUACUCUUUCCAGUUCACUAUGUGUGGUCAUAAAGCAGGUUAUAUGGGUGUUUAUGUGUACAAGAACAACCAAAACAUUAUGUUUAAUUUGGAGCAUAAGAAAGAAGCAGCUUAUAGGUAUUUCACUAACUCAGUUGUUUUUAACCUGAGAGCAGGAGAUGAAAUCCACCUGGUUCUCCCAUCAGGCCAUUCUCUUUUUGACAGUGCAAAUAACCACAAUACAUUCAGUGGCUCCCUUCUCUUCCCCCUGUAAGGAUGUUGUUUAGGCUGCUGUGUGAUUGACCCCUACACACCCCUUGUAAUUGGCUACUCUGGGAUUCUUUAGAAAAUGCUGAUA